rnacentral:siRNA from 1 species
GGAGUCUGUGGGGCAGGUAGCAGU